GUCCCUCCAGGGACAUUCGAUAAAAUUGGAACGACACAAAGAAGAUUAAUAUGGCCUCUGCGUAAGGAUGAUACAUGCACAAAAUGAGAAAUUUAAAUGUUAU
rnacentral:snRNA from 1 species